AUUGAACGCUGGCGGCAGGCCUAACACAUGCAAGUCGAGCGAGCGGCGGACGGGUGAGUAAUGUCUGGGAAACUGCCUGAUGGAGGGGGAUAACUACUGGAAACGGUAGCUAAUACCGCAUACCAUCAGAUGUGCCCAGAUGGGAUUAGCUAGUAGGUGGGGUAACGGCCCACCUAGGCGACGAUCCCUAGCUGGUCUGAGAGGAUUACCAGCAACACAGGAACUGAGAAACGGACCAGACUCCUGCGGGAGGCAGCAGGGGGGAAUAUAGCACAGUGGGAGCAAGCCUGAUGCAGCCAUGCCGCGUGUGUGAAGAAGGCCUUCGGGUUGUAAAGCACUUUCAGCGGGGAGGGGUUACCAGCAGAAGAAGCACCGGCUGACGCCGUGCCAGCAGCCGAGGUAAUAC
rnacentral:rRNA from 1 species